UUUCAAAAGUAUGUUAGCGACACAAAAUAUCCAGCUUACAGAGCGAAAAGCCUGAAAAGGUACCGCAGGUUCAAGAGGACAACACUCGCCACUACCCUAAGAAGCAACUAGCUAAAUAUUUUUCUAAUCUUGAUCGAGUUUAUUAGAAUAUGGCCAUGGUGCAAUAUCAAAUUAGUAGUAUCAUUGCUUCCAUCAUAAUUUUAUUUUAUUUUUGUAUUUCUGCAGCAUCAUGUACGGGUCAUGGCGUAGGGAAUCCCCCCUCCCCUCCGCCGCACCACCCCACACGAGGUUGUCACCGGGCAAGCCCGUGGCGCAGCUCCGGCCUGUGUCGGAGAAUCUUGGAUCUAGGGCGGCGCCCCCAGCGAGGCCCCUUGUUUCCUGCGGCGAGCAGUUGGGUUGGCAUGGUGUUGGCGAUCUGCUCGGAUGGCCGACAGAUCUUCGCUAAACUGGGGCAUCGCGUGGCUGUCUGGGCGGCUACCGGUGCCAGAUCCGGCUGCUGGCCAUCUUCCCCUUCUUGGUGUGCUUCUCCCACAGCGGAUCCUGGCUAUGCCGGCGUGGCUGGCCAGCCCCUGGGCUGUGCCCGAAUCUGGUGGUUGGGAUCCAGACUGGGGGAAACCACUGAUCGGCUCCGGCCGGCGACGACGACGGCGAUGUCCGCAGGCGUCGAGUUUCUUCAUGGAGACGUCGCUCAAGGUCCGCCCUUCCGCUCCCCAACACCUUGCUUCUCUGGUGAAGACCUAACUCUAGUAGGCUACGACGGUGUCCUUGGCGUCGUGACCUUCUUGAAGGCGUCUCCUUGAGAGCUGUGUGGUGGUGGGCACUGUAUGGGGUCGUUGACAGCAGCCAAGGGCGUGUUCUUCGUCCAAGCCUUCACUUUCCUCCGGCGCGUUCUGCCCAAGGGCUGUGUAGCUCGCUCUGCUUUGGAUGAGCCUCGUCGGCACAUUUGGGGUGCUCUGAUCCGCUCUUGGGGUUAUCCGGCGGUUUCCAUCCAUGUUCAUGGGAACUUUCCGUUCUUCGGUGGUACGACACCUUGCGAUUCAGGCAACGAGGUGUGGCCUCCUUUGAAGACGGAGUUUGGAUGGAUAUCGUGCCGGGGGCCUUAGUGUCUGGUGACGGCAGACCAUGUAGGUGCAUCUGCACUCCCUCUCCAGAGCCGGCUUUGCUUCUGUCCAGAUGUAGUCGUGGUGGAGGACCUCAACUUCUUCAGCUGUGUGCUCCAUUGUAUACCCUUCCUGCUGAAGUGUUUGGGGCUUAGUAAGUUGCUUUCCAACUCCUUUGUAUCUUGUUGCUUUCUGUUGUUUGAGUUCUUUGAUGUACUCUGCAGUUGUAUUUUGGCCGGUUGAUGGCUUUGUUAAUUCAAAGCCGGACUCGGCUAGCGCCCUAGUCGGGUUCGGCCGCGUCUUUUCUGUAACAGUUUUGCUAAGUCUCAGUCGACUGAAACUUUUGUUAUGUCUCGUUCGAUGUUAUAGUCCUUUGAUUUUGCAUGGAGAUUCGUACACAAUUUUUCUGUUCACUUUUUUCUUUUUUCUUUUUAUUAUCUUAUAUGCUAUAUCACCUAGCCACACCCUUUCUCUGAAAAGUUUAGGUUUAGUAGACACCGACUAACAAAGUAGAUCACUAAAAUGUAAACUAAUAUAAGAGUGUUUAGAUCACUAUUUUAGUGAUCCAAACGCUCUUAUAUUAGUUUACAGAGGGAGUAUUUGCCAUCCUUAUAGGCAGCUCAUUUAUUUGCUUUAUGUUUUGGUUUCGUGAACAGUUCGCUGCAUCGUUUGCGACCAUACUUCAUGUACGAUUGCACAUCCAUCUUCGGGCAAGUAUUUCACGGGCAGCACUCAACCUGGUUUCCCGGUACACCGCCGGUGGGGAGAUGAUCUAGGUGGGAUGCUGGAGUUAGAUUUUAUAUAUUUCGAUCGAAGAAAUAGUGAGUCUGCCAACUCUAUUGAAGGAGUCUCCUUUUGUCCCCUAGGGAGCCGAUAGCUAGAGCCAGUGUCUGAACUUGAUGAUCCUGUUGGUGCAGUCUCGGAAACACCUAAUAGACAGUGAACUUGACAAGCCAUGCUAAAGACACUGGGAUCUCGGUAGUAACCGAUGCAGAGUGCAGGCAUCAGUGACUACUGAAGCUGAAGUUAGAGCUAGCAUUGUCAUGGAAGGUCCUAAGCAUGAAUUCUGGGAUUCUGAGGGAAGAGACAGCCGAUGAAGCAAGACGCUGUUGAAACAGCCAAACAUGAAGACAAAAAUUCUGCUGCUGCUUGUACUGGCACUCUGUUUAUGUGACCUACUUGACGCUUGCAAGUCUGCUAGAACUUAGUAUUUGUUAUGUUAUCGCCCAACUAUUGUUCAUGGUUACUGGUAUGAGCUUUUAUAGAUGAGAUGAAGUAGUUCUCU